rnacentral:misc_RNA from 1 species
UGCGGCUGGAUCACCUCCUUUCUAAGGAAGAUGUU